GUUUUAAUAGUUUAAAUAUAAAAUAUUGGUCUUGUAAACCAAAGUUAAGAACUUCUCUUUUAAAACU
rnacentral:tRNA from 1 species